rnacentral:rRNA from 1 species
GACGAACGCUGGCGGCGUGCUUAACACAUGCAAGUCGAACGGAAAGGCCCUGCUUUUGUGGGGUGCUCGAGUGGCGAACGGGUGAGUAGCACGUGAGUAACCUGCCCUUGACUUUGGGAUAACUUCAGGAAACUGGGGCUAAUACCGGAUAGGAGCUCCUGCUGCAUGGUGGGGGUUGGAAAGUUUCGGCGGUUGGGGAUGGACUCGCGGUUUAUCAGCUUGUUGGUGGGGUAGUGGCUUACCAAGGCUUUGACGGGUAGCCGGCCUGAGAGGGUGACCGGCCACAUUGGGACUGAGAUACGGCCCAGACUCCUGCGGGAGGCAGCAGUGGGGAAUAUUGCACAAUGGGCGGAAGCCUGAUGCAGCAACGCCGCGUGCGGGAUGACGGCCUUCGGGUUGUAAACCGCUUUCGCCUGUGACGAAGCGUGAGUGACGGUAAUGGGUAAAGAAGCACCGGCUAACUACGUG